rnacentral:lncRNA from 1 species
UAUGACCCAUUCAGUUCAAGUAAUGACGUUUCCUACUUAGUCAACUAUUUUUCCAUUUCUUUACAGUGAAUAUUCGUGUCCAUUUCUAUAGAGUAAGCAAAACUAUAUAGAUCUACUCCUAUCUUUGUAUGCAAAGACUAAAUACUGAUGAACUAACCUGUGAAUCAGUUGGGUUCCAGCGAUAAUCCUACCAUAGUGCUAGCGAAUGUUUCACUUUACUGCGAGAAUCGAAAGAGACCCACAAACCUUUCCUCCCUAUCCUCCUUACUCCGAUCUGUUCGAAACGAAACAUGGAUCAGUUAGUCGAAUCAAAUCCAACAAGCAUCAUUAGAUAGCUUUUAACUAUUCACUACAUACCAACCAAUUUCCUCUCUCUUAUU